rnacentral:rRNA from 1 species
GAUGAACGCUGGCGGCGUGCCUAAUACAUGCAAGUCGAGCGAACGGACGAGAAGCUUGCUUCUCUGAUGUUAGCGGCGGACGGGUGAGUAACACGUGGAUAACCUACCUAUAAGACUGGGAUAACUUCGGGAAACCGGAGCUAAUACCGGAUAAUAUUUUGAACCGCAUGGUUCAAAAGUGAAAGACGGUCUUGCUGUCACUUAUAGAUGGAUCCGCGCUGCAUUAGCUAGUUGGUAAGGUAACGGCUUACCAAGGCAACGAUGCAUAGCCGACCUGAGAGGGUGAUCGGCCACACUGGAACUGAGACACGGUCCAGACUCCUACGGGAGGCAGCAGUAGGGAAUCUUCCGCAGUGGGCGAAAGCCUGACGGAGCAACGCCGCGUGAGUGAUGAAGGUCUUCGGAUCGUAAAACUCUGUUAUUAGGGAAGAACAUAUGUGUAAGUAACUGUGCACAUCUUGACGGUACCUAAGCAGAAAGCCACGGCU